AUACAUCCAUGUUUUUGGCGACAAUGCUGUACGUGAAGUUGUGGCUGAUUUUUUGAAUGGGGCAGCAGCAGCAGAGGCGGUGACCGUGGUGGAGGAAAAGCCAAAAACAAUAAACAUCUUUUUACGAGCAUUUAUAUAUUUGUUUCCACACAACAAUAUGGCUUUAGAAAAUGUAUUUGAAAAUAAACUCACAGCUAACUGUACACCAUUAAUUUGAGCAUGUUGUAUUGACAAUUACUGUAUGAAUAUUGAAUAUGGUAUGGAAUGAAACGUAAUGAACUAACGACUUGAGAUCAAAAGAUACAAUGAGGAUAUCAGUUAUGACUUCUAUAUUGAAUGGAUUGUUAGAUUAACAUCAAUUUUUUUUAUAGAAUGUAAAUUAUUGCUAUCUUGCGUCAACACAAAGAACACAACACCCAGCACAUGCAGCUUAAAUUAUUAUAAGGAUUUAAAUACACAACGAUAUUGCUUUGGAAAAUGUAUUGGUGUAUAAAUAUGGUAUGGAAUGAAAUGUUAUGAACAACUUGAGAUCAAAAGAUUACGAUUAAGAUACAAGUUCUGACUUCUACAAUGAAUGGAUCAUUUAUAUAUAUAUAAAGGAUGCAAUUAAUGGCUAUCCAGCGACAACACCGAGAACACGACACCCAUUCUACAUAUUCAUCAUCUGGUUGACAACGGUGCUUAUCUGAGUUCCAGCUACAGUAUAAACAUAUGUUUGUCAUGUCUUCAGAAUUCUCUAAUAGAUAGGUCUUUAAAUAUUCUCUAUAAGUGUUAGGAUCAAACUCUAAACUGAACUUGGAAUUGUCCAUAAAUUUAAAUGCGUAAUAUAUGAUAUUUACUCCACAAUUAAA